GCCACACUGUGAGCAUUCAAAGCUGCGUGACAGGUAUUACUGGAACACCUCGUUGAUUUUCCGAGUUUAUUCUACGUACACUUCUUAAUGUUGCUCAAAUUACGAGGUAUAGCAAUAAUGUGGACCGUUUGUUAACAUAUUGGUUCGUACUUUCAGAUUUAAGUUUAUGAUAUUUACAUCAUAAACUGUACGAACUUUGGAAAGAUAAAGAUAGAACAGCCAUCGUCAUGGAUGAAGUGAUAGUUUUGCUACUUCUCUCUGUAACCAUGUUCAUGGGAUGUUACAUGGCAGGAGUUAUUCCACUUGUUGUUACAUUAUCAGGGGAUAAACUGCAGUUAGUUACAGUGCUUGGUGCAGGAAUGUUAGUUGGAACAGCAUUAUCAGUGAUUAUUCCAGAAGGUGUCAACAUGCUUUACUCGUCACAUUUAGCACUAAUACGUAAUCAGCUGCUAAGGGAACAGCAAAUUACAACUGACAAGGCUCAACUUUCAAGCAGUCUUGAGAAAGAACAUUCACUCCAUAUUCUAACAGAUAUUGGGGAGACUCAUUCUGUCAUUGGUGUUACUCUGGUUUUAGGUUUUAUAUUUAUGCUUUUAAUAGAUCAGAUUGGCUCAGCAUACACAAGAAUUUCAAAUUCAGAUGCAGAAGCAGGACCUAAAGAAGAUAGAUACAGAAUAACAGCCACACUUGGUCUAGUAGUACAUGCAGCAGCUGAUGGGAUAGCUCUUGGAGCAGCAGUUACUACCUCACAUACAGAUAUAGAAAUGAUUGUUUUCUUAGCAAUUAUGCUGCACAAGGCACCAGCAGCAUUUGGUCUUGUGACCUUUCUCUUGCAUGAAGGCUUGGAUAGGAACAGAAUAAGAAAACACCUUCUUAUAUUUGCUCUAGCUGCUCCACUGUUAGCUGUAAUUACAUACUUUAGUAUAAGUCAAUCUACAAAAGAAGUUUUGUCAACGUUCAAUGGCACUGGGACUGCCAUGUUGUUCAGUGCAGGAACAUUUCUCUAUGUUGCAACAGUCCAUGUGUUGCCAGAGGUGGUCAGCCAGUCCCACAGCCAUGCUGUAGGUUCAGACUCUGUGCAUUCCGAACAUAAAGGAUUCCGCAAAAUGGAGCUCUUUGCACUAGUUGGGGGUGCAAUUUUUCCUAUGUUGUUGUCUGUUGGGCAUCAUCACUAAGCACGUGAAAGAAAGGGAAUGGUGUAAAUUUGAUGAUAAUUCCUUCAGCUUUGUACAUAUGCAUUUAAUCUCUCAUUUCAGAUAGUAAGGG
rnacentral:misc_RNA from 1 species